GACGAACGCUGGCGGCGUGCCUAAUACAUGCAAGUAGAACGCACAGUUUAUACCGUAGCUUGCUACACCAUAGACUGUGAGUUGCGAACGGGUGAGUAACGCGUAGGUAACCUGCCUGGUAGCGGGGGAUAACUAUUGGAAACGAUAGCUAAUACCGCAUAAUAUUAAUUAUUGCAUGAUAAUUAAUUGAAAGGUGCAAUUGCACCACUACCAGAUGGACCUGCGUUGUAUUAGCUAGUAGGUGAGGUAACGGCUCACCUAGGCGACGAUACAUAGCCGACCUGAGAGGGUGAUCGGCCACACUGGGACUGAGACACGGCCCAGACUCCUACGGGAGGCAGCAGUAGGGAAUCUUCGGCAAUGGACGAAAGUCUGACCGAGCAACGCCGCGGGAGUGAAGAAGGUUUUCGGAUCGUAAAGCUCUGUUGUAAGAGAAGAACGGGUGUGAGAGUGGAAAGUUCACACUGUGACGGUAGCUUAACAGAAAGGGACGGCUAACUACGUG
rnacentral:rRNA from 1 species